GGCAGAAAAGAGGAAAGUUUCGGGAGGGAAAAAAACCCCUUCGGCUUUAGCCUAACAGCCAAGACAAAGCUUAUGGCAAAGUGGUCAGACCUUCCAGCAACACCACCAGCGCGCCUCAGUGAGCUCCGGCUUACUUGCCCGACCUCCGAACUCCGCCCAGAGCCCAGCCGGCCCUCCUUCCCUCCCUCCGCGCGCAUUUCUGGAGCCAGGGCGUGCUUUGUACCAGGUUUCUCCGUUUGGAAGUGGCAGGCGCGGUGCCAGCGGGACUGAGAGUCUAAAAUAUGAGAACUGGUUUCUCUUCAUAUUGAGAGAUGUAUCCCAGAAGAAGACAUGGACAUUGGUUUCUUCAGACUCUAUACCAAGUGAAUGCUUCCAGAGGAAUGUUUGGAAUACACCACAGCACAACCCUUUCCCAGUUUGGCCAAGUCUGUGCAGGAUCCAGGACCAUCCCAAACAACAGAGUACACAAUGGCAUCUUUGACAACUACAGAAAUUCCAAUCGAGGACAUGUUUCCAAAUGCCCCCGAGGAUAUUUCCAUGAUAAACAUCGCUAUCGUGGUCGUUCUUUUAGAGGAUUUCAAAACAACUUCUCAAAAGGAAGCUCCCAGAAGUUGCCACAUUCAUCCUCAUAUGAUAAGAGAAACUCGAUUCAAUUCAGAGGAAGGAGGAGUAACCAUUGGUGGACAAGAGCAAAGAGCAGUGACUUGAAACAACUACCAGUGAAGGUUUUAAAAAGUGUAAAAAUAGGACUUUAGGAAAGUCUGCUGAAGAGCUGUAUAACUUUAAUGUUGACAAUAAAGAAACUGAAAAUUAAACUUUUUCUGCA
rnacentral:lncRNA from 1 species